rnacentral:rRNA from 1 species
UACGGGGGGGGUAAGCGUUGUUCGGAAUUACUGGGCGUAAAGGGCUCGUAGGCGGCCAACUAAGUCAUACGUGAAAUCCCUCAGCUUAACUGGGGAACUGCGUGUGAUACUGGAUGGCUUGGAUUUGGGAGAGGGAUGCGGAAUUCCAGGUGUAGCGGUGAAAUGCGUAGAUAUCGGGAGGAACACCAGUGGCGAAGGCGGUCGUCUGGGCAGAUACUGACGCUGAGGUGCGAAAGCGUGGGGAGCAAACCGG